rnacentral:tRNA from 1 species
GGUAGGUGGCUCAGUGGUAGAGUGCUUGCCUUGCAUGCAUGAGGACCUGGGUUUGAUUCCUCAGUACCA